CCUACGGGGGGCUGCAGUGGGGAAUAUUGGACAAUGGGGGGAACCCUGAUCCAGCCAUGCCGCGUGUGUGAAGAAGGCCCUCGGGUUGUAAAGCACUUUCAGUGAGGAAGAACGCCUGGUGGUUAAUACCCAUCAGGAAAGACAUCACUCACAGAAGAAGCACCGGCUAACUCCGUGCCAGCAGCCGAGGUAAUACGGAGGGUGCGAGCGUUAAUCGGAAUUACUGGGCGUAAAGCGCGCGUAGGUGGCUUGAUAAGCCGGUUGUGAAAGCCCCGGGCUCAACCUGGGAACGGCAUCCGGAACUGUCAAGCUAGAGUGCAGGAGAGGAAGGUAGAAUUCCCGGUGUAGCGGUGACAUGCGUAGAGAUCGGGAGGAAUACCAGUGGCGAAGGCGGCCUUCUGGACUGACACUGACACUGAGGUGCGAAAGCGUGGGUAGCAAACAGGAUUAGAUACCCCAGUAGUC
rnacentral:rRNA from 1 species